UACGAAGGGUGCAAGCGUUACUCGGAAUUACUGGGCGUAAAGCGUGCGUAGGUGGUGAGUUAAGUCUGUCGUGAAAGCCCCGGGCUCAACCUGGGAAUGGCGAUGGAUACUGGCUCGCUAGAGUGCGGUAGAGGAGAGUGGAAUUCCCGGUGUAGCGGUGAAAUGCGCAGAUAUCAGGAGGAACACCCGUGGCGAAGGCGGUUCUCUGGGACGGUACUGACGCUGAGGAGCGAAAGCGUGGGGAGCGAACAGG
rnacentral:rRNA from 1 species